ensembl:sense_intronic Gm42702 predicted gene 42702
AGAAAAUAAGCCAAGGUAGGUUGGUUUUAUUAUUUUAUUAUUUUUUUCCAAAUGUUUUUUCCAAAUGUUUAGAUUUAGGUCUUUGAAAUACAGGAUUAAUGCUUAUAAUUAGAUGAAAUAGAGUGGAGUAAAAGUAAAAAUGAAUUAGGAGAAAGCUUUAUAUGCUAAGCAUGUAGAAUGCAUAUCCAUCAUUUAAAUUUUUUAUUUUAUUUAUUUAUUUUAACUUUUUAUUGAUUCUUUCUGAAUUUCACAACAUGUACCCCGUUCCCACUCAUCUCCCCAUCCCUCCAUAUCUGCCCUUGCAACCUCCCCGACAAAAGGAAAAUAAAAAUAAGAAUUAAAUUAAACAACAACAAAAAAUCUCAUUGUAGAAACUGUAUACCCUUUUGCCCAAAAGAGCUUGCAAAUGUUUAUGUCAAUGAGUCAUCUAUUUGGAGGCCUCUGGCUUCUGCUAUACUAUCAGUACUGGAUACUCACCUCCUCUCAAGAUACUCUGUUGUUGUCCUGUGUCAUGGAGAUCCUGCAGCUUUGAGUCUACAGGAUCAACUCUUUUGCCUGCUCCAGCAGUUCAUAGAUGGAGUAGACGUUGGGGUGGACCAGCUCAAAGCCUUGGAUCUGGGCAAGGGUGGUAGCUGACUAGUUCAGCUCAUCAUCUCUUCCCUUGUCCUGGUGAGGGGUGGAGCCAGCUCUCCUGCACUCACACCACCAGGACCAGCUCUCUAGAACUGCCCAGGCCAGGCGCAGGGCCAGCUCUUCUGCACCUAUGCCACCAGGGCCAGCUCUGCUCUGCUGGCCACUGUGUAGAGUGCCACAGCCAGUAAGGGGCAGGGCUAGCUCUCCUGCUCUCCUGGCUCUCUGGGCCAGUUCUUCCAGUGAUGCCCAGGUGAUGAGUAGGGCCAGCUCUGCACAGCUCUCAGAUAUCAAUAUGACCCCAGACAACGGCCCAGAUCAGGGAUGUCCACAUGGCCUUUGGUAGUAACGUGGACCACCAGCAUCAGUACUAGCCACUGACAUCAAUACAGACCCAGGCCUGGCCUGGCCCUGGCUCUCAGUGGCAGCAUAGGCCAAGGCAUCACUGUGGCUUCAGGUGGUAGCUCAGGCUACUCCCAUCAGGCAGAUCCUCAGCACCCUCCUUUCUCCAUAGUGCACAAGCCAUUGCACUUCUCUUUCUCUCCCAUCUCUCCAUCACAUAUUUACUUUCAUAGUGUUACGCUCCUGCUGCUGGUGGGUGUGACUCUACAUGUAUUUUGCCACAUGAGCAGCAUUUUGUAGGCCUGAUUCAAUCUCCAGCAAGUGCCCCUUGCUUCUCAAAAUCUUUUCAUGCAUUGACAUUUUAGGCAAGUCCUUUAUCUGUGCCUAUUUCUCUGUACAUUCAAAGGAGAAGACCACAUAACUGGGAAGAGUUUUAUAAAGUUUAACUUAUAAAAUGGAUUUAUUUUAUGAUUAUGAGUAUUUACUUGCAUAUAUGUGUGUACACUUAAUGCAUACAGUGACUGAGGAGGCCAGAAGAGGGUGGCAGCUCCUCUGAAUUGUAGUUACAGAGAUUGUGAGCCACCAUGUGUGUGGUGAAAACUAAUCCCAGGUCCUUUGCAAGAGCAGCAAGUACUUUUAAUCUCUAAGCCAUCUCUCCAGUUCCUAAAUUUAAUUUUUAGAAAGCAUUCUUAAAAGCACUGAGGCUGACAGUGGGUGGUAAUUUAAAUAGUUUAGACUUGAAUUGGGGGAAACAUUACCUAUCAGGCAUUGUUUUCAGAAGAGAAGCAAAUUAGAAAUAAGAGCUACAUCUAGAACUAAUCAAUUAUUAAUAUAUUGUGGGAGUGGGAAAAUUAUGACUUUUAAAAUUAUGAUAGCAUCCAUGUAAUAUUCCCCUUAUACAAGCUCUUGGGUAAUUCCCUCACAUAAGUGUUGGAGAGAUUAGACUUUCUUGGUUCAUAUUUCCGGGCCUUGUUUUACAAGAAAAAUAUAUGGUUUUUUUGUUUGUUUUUAAUGUUUCACAUUUAAGUCUUCUGUAGGUUUUAUUGUUCUUGAUUUUUUUUAAAAUUGCAAUUAAUUAAUCAUUUAAUUCCUUAAGGGGGAAACUCAAUAACUUUAAUUAGGAAAUAUUUAAAUGUCCUUCAUGUUAUAUUUAAAAUAAAAGAAUAGUUAUUCUUAGGCCAAGACAAAAUGACUAAAAUUGAUGUGCAUGUUUGUGGGACUAAGGAGCUACAGCAGAGGGGAAGGCUGCAUUUCCAGCUUGAGUUUUAGAAAUGUGCCAUACUUUGUGGAUUCUUGAGAAUAUCAGUCUUCUAUUUUAAAGUUAACUGACUUUCCCAAAGGUGAAAUAUGCAAACUUUUCUUUAUUUAGAUUUGUUUAUAAACUGAAGCUUUGAAGACAGCAAAAUUAAUACUAUCUUUUCAGCAAGCACUUAACAAUUUAAAUAUGUAGAAGCAUUCUGUUUAAAAAUUAGGGAGAGAACUGCCACAACACAGGCUAUCCAUAGUUAUUUGUGAUCUUUUCAUUCUUUUCCCUCAGAAAUAGUUUUUACUUUUAUAAAGAAGAGAGAUAAAAUCUACUGGGGGUGUGUGUGACAUUAUUUUUAAGAUUAUAAAAUGCCUGUUCUUUUUACUCUAGCAGUAAUGUGGAGCAUGCCUGCUCUCUUAACCAUCUUUGACUUCAUACCCAAAUUCUGAACAGGAAAUAUGCUGCCAGGAUGUGUGGGAUGGGAAACAUAGCACUAAAGUGAAAAAAGCAAAAAGGAAAUUUCUUCUUAAAUAACCUCCGACAUCUAGUAAACUGAGUUAAUAUACUUAUCAUUAGCCUGUGUUUGAUAUUUUUAAAAGUUUAUUUAUUUAAUCACUUUACAACCUGUUACCAUCCCUUCCUUUUCUCCCAGUACCCCUCAUGCAAUUCCUCCCCUAUUCCACUUUCCCCGGGAAGCCCCCUCUGGGUGCCACCACCCCACCCCCACCCUAAAGGAUUCCAGUGGCCAAAGUUAGAAUUUGAGCAACAGAAAUAUACAUAGCAGUAUUUGAUUAUAACCCAUUGCACACAAUAAAUAUCCAUGCAUUCAUACUGAUGAAAUGAGUCAGAUAUAAAAUUAAGUAAGUCUUGCGCGCGCUCGACUGGCCAGGAAGAACGACGCUGCAACAGGAUCCUUCUGCACACGUUUAUUGGGAGAGCUUGAUUGUAGAGGCGAANNNNNNNNNNNNNNNNNNNNNNNNNNNNNNNNNNNNNNNNNNNNNNNNNNNNNNNNNNNNNNNNNAUGUAUGUGUGGUGGCCAGCAGUAGCCAACUGCCACUCUGCAACUGCCACUCUGCAACGGCUUCCCACAAGUAAGAAUAGAAUCAACAAAUUUUCCUGCCACAGGAACUUUAGAUUCCUUAAGGUGUGGAACCUAACUCUUGGCUCAUGGAUGAGCUGCCAGUAGAGACUUUAACAGCCUCCCCCCAUCUCUCUAACUUUACAGUGAAGAAAUACAGCAUACUGUUGCAGCUGAGAGCUGAAAGUACCAACAGUGAUGAAUCAUACUGCUAGUCUAUAUUCUUGAUAGGAAGCAAUGCCUUUACUUUAGGAGUCUUACUCCCCAAAUACACUCCAAGUCUCAUCAUGAGAAAAACAUCAGAAAAAUCUUAAGUUGAAGGGAUCCUGCACAGUAUCUGAUACUGCCUAAAAGUUUUCAAGAUCAUCAAAAACAAGCCCUAACAAGUUGUCAAAAAAUUUAAGUCUAACAUGCUUGCUUAAGAAGACAUAACAGUGGGGCUGGAGAGAUAGCUCAGCUGUUAAGAGCACUGACUGUUCUUAUGAAGGUCCUGGGUUCAAAUCCCAGCAACCACAUGGUGGCUUACAACCAUCUGUAAUGACAUCUGAUGCCCUCUACUGGUGUGUGUGUCUGAAGACAGCUACAGUAUUCUUACAUAUAAAUAAUAAAUAAAUUAAAAAAAAAGAAGACAUAACAGCUAAGUGUGAUGUCAUAUCCUAAAUAGGCUCCUGGAACAGAAAAUAGAAAUUUAGGUAGAAACUUGGGAUAUCUGAGUAAAACCUGGACUUUAAAAACAACAAUGAUGUAUCAUUAUUGGUUCAAUUGUGGCACAUAUACUGUGCAGAUAAUAUGGAAGAACUGCUGUGCAGCAUGGAAGUUCUUUGUUGUACCUUUAUGGUUUUCCUGUAAGUUAGAAAUUGUCUUAAAAUAAACUUUUCCAAAAC